GACGAACGCUGGCGGCGUGCUUAACACAUGCAAGUCGAACGGAAAGGCACAGCUUGCUGGGUACUCGAGUGGCGAACGGGUGAGUAACACGUGGGUGAUCUGCCCUGCACUCUGGGAUAAGCCUGGGAAACUGGGUCUAAUACCGGAUAUGACCAACUGUCGCAUGGUGGUUGGUGGAAAGCUUUUGCGGUGUGGGAUGGGCCCGCGGCCUAUCAGCUUGUUGGUGGGGUAAUGGCCUACCAAGGCGACGACGGGUAGCCGACCUGAGAGGGAGAUCGGCCACACUGGGACUGAGACACGGCCCAGACUCCUACGGGAGGCAGCAGUGGGGAAUAUUGCACAAUGGGCGGAAGCCUGAUGCAGCGACGCCGCGUGAGGGAUGACGGCCUUCGGGUUGUAAACCUCUUUCACCAGGGACGAAGCGUGAGUGACGGUACCUGGAGAAGAAGCACCGGCCAACUACGUGCCAGCCGCCGCCG
rnacentral:rRNA from 1 species